rnacentral:rRNA from 1 species
ACACGUAGGGGCCUGACGUUGUUCGGAAUCAUUGGGCGUAAAGGGCGCGCAGGCGGCCGUCCAAGUCCGGUGUUAAAUGGUCGGGCUCAACCCGAUCAUGCGCUGGAAACUGGGCGGCUGGAGUCCCGGAGGGGAUGCCGGAAUUCCAGGUGUAGGGGUGAAAUCUGUAGAUAUCUGGAAGAACACCGAUGGCGAAGGCAGGCAUCGCGCCGGAGACUGACGCUGAGGCGCGAAGGCGCGGGGAGCGAACAGGUUUAGAUACCCUGGUAGUCCGCGCAGUAAACGAUGCGCACCAGGUGUCGGGCGGCAGCGCCCGGUACCGGAGCAAACGCGAUGAGUGCGCCGCCUGGGGAGUAUGCCCGCAAGGGUGAAACUCAAAGGAAUUGACGGGG